AGAGGCUUAUAGCUCUAAGCC
rnacentral:miRNA from 2 species